UGUCUGCCUCAGCGUCGGUUUGCACCCUCGCCCCCCUCUCCCUGAGUCGGGGUGCGGACCUGGCCCUCCCGGCCUCCGCCUGCGCUUGUCGCUGGCGCCCGGGUUGGCUGAAGCACAGAGGCUUGAGCAUGGACCCCGUUUGCAGGGCAAUGGCUUGGUAGGUAGGCACCCCCUACACACGCCUGCCGUUGUCCGAGGGGACUUUGCUGGAGGCCCCGCAGGAAUCCGGUGCGUGCGCCCCCGCGCCGCCCAGGAGCUCUCACUCAU
rnacentral:misc_RNA from 1 species